rnacentral:rRNA from 1 species
GACGGAGGAUGCAAGCGUUAUCCGGAAUGAUUGGGCGUAAAGCGUCCGCAGGUGGCAGUUCAAGUCUGCUGUCAAAGACCGGGGCUUAACUUCGGAAAGGCAGUGGAAACUGAACAGCUAGAGUAUGGUAGGGGCAGAGGGAAUUCCUGGUGUAGCGGUGAAAUGCGUAGAGAUCAGGAAGAACAUCGGUGGCGAAGGCGCUCUGCUGGACCAUAACUGACGCUGAGGCGCGAAAGCGUGGGGAGCAAACAGG